UUCGCUUCUCUGCCUUUUGGCUAAGAUCAAGUGUAGUAUCUGUUCUUAUCAGUUGUCAGCACAAACAGACAGACAGGUGGACAGACAUUCACCUGGAGUGACGUAAGAAGAAGCAGAGGAUGCCGAUGUUCAAGUUUUAACAUUGCACCCGUUUUUUAUUGUUGAUGUAAGAGCAUAUACACCCAAA